UGCGUAUGGUGUCAGAGAGGCUCUUGAGAUGAACUGCAAUCUUUCUCAUAUUCUCUAUGUACUCAGGAAGUGAUACAUGAGGACCUAGGCCAGAUGAGUGAGGCCCCAUGGAAUCAUUACCACCAAAAUAGACUAUCACCAAAGCAGGCUGUACAGCAGCAUCCAUUGGAAAAAUUUGAUCCAGGACCUCAACAGCACGCCUCGAAUUCCAUCCAUAGUACCCUCGCAACACUAUGUCUGCUUUGCG
rnacentral:misc_RNA from 1 species